GACGAACGCUGGCGGCGUGCUUAACACAUGCAAGUCGAACGGAAAGGCCCUGCUUUUGUGGGGUGCUCGAGUGGCGAACGGGUGAGUAACACGUGAGUAACCUGCCCUUGACUUUGGGAUAACUUCAGGAAACUGGGGCUAAUACCGGAUAGGAGCUCCUGCUGCAUGGUGGGGGUUGGAAAGUUUCGGCGGUUGGGGAUGGACUCGCGGCUUAUCAGCUUGUUGGUGGGGUAGUGGCUUACCAAGGCUUUGACGGGUAGCCGGCCUGAGAGGGUGACCGGCCACAUUGGGACUGAGGAACGGCCCAGACUCCUACGGGAGGCAGCAGUGGGGAAUAUUGCACAAUGGGCGGAAGCCUGAUGCAGCAACGCCGCGUGCGGGAUGACGGCCUUCGGGUUGUAAACCGCUUUCGCCUGUGACGAAGCGUGAGUGACGGUAAUGGGUAAAGAAGCACCGGCUAACUACGUGCCAGCCGCCGCCGUAAUAC
rnacentral:rRNA from 1 species